GGAGAGCUAAUACCGGAUACCCCCACCUGGUCGCAUGGCCGAGUGAGGAAAUGGAUUCCGCUUCGGGAGGGCCUCGCGGCCUAUCAGCUAGUUGGUGAGGUAACGGCUCACCAAGGCAUCGACGGGUAGCUGGUCUGAGAGGACGAUCAGCCACACUGGGACUGAGACACGGCCCAGACUCCUACGGGAGGCAGCAGUGGGGAAUCUUGCGCAAUGGGCGAAAGCCUGACGCAGCAACGCCGCGUGGGGGAUGAAGGCUCUCGGGUUGUAAACCCCUUUCAGCAGGGACGAAAUUGACGGUACCUUCAGAAGAAGCCCCGGCUAACUACGUGCCAGCAGCCGCGGUAACACGUAGGGGGCAAGCGUUGUCCGGAUUUAUUGGGCGUAAAGAGCUCGUAGGUGGCUAAGUAAGUCGGGUGUCAAAUCCCCAGGCUCAACCUGGGUCUCCACUCGAUACUGCUUUGGCUAGAGUCCGGUAGGGGGAGCGUGGAAUUCCUGGUGUAGCGGUGAAAUGCGCAGAUAUCAGGA
rnacentral:rRNA from 1 species